UUCCGGUUGAUCCUGCCGGACCUGACUGCUAUCGGAUUGAUACUAAGCCAUGCGAGUCAUUGUAGCAAUAGAAGGCAGACGGCUCAGUAACGCGUAUUCAUCCGAACCUAUGGACGGGACUAACCUCGGGAAACUGAGAAUAAUGCCCGAUAGAACGCUAUACCUGGAAUGGUUUGUGUUCCAAAUGAUUUAUCGCCGUAGGAUGGGACUGCGGCCUAUCAGUUUGUUGGUGAGGUAAUGGCCCACCAAGACUAUUACAGGUACGGGCUCUGAGAGGAGUAGCCCGGAGAUGGGUACUGAGACACGGACCCAGGCCCUAUGGGGCGCAGCAGGCGAGAAAACUUUGCAAUGUGCGAAAGCACGACAAGGUUAAUCCGAGUGAUUUGUGCUAAACGAAUCUUUUGUUACUCCUAGAACCACUAACAAAUAAGGGGUGGCCAAGUUCUGGU
rnacentral:rRNA from 1 species